ACUAUGUGCACCAUACUCUUUGCUUUUGUUAAAACCAACGGUUUUGCCAUCAUAUAACUGGUUAUGGUAUUUACGGGUACUGCCUUCGUUAGAAGGACAUGUAAAUUAUAAACGCCCCUUUCACUGCUUGCUGGAAAGUAGUACUUAAUUAUUGUGUUCAGAUGAACCCACAAGUAAUCGGCGAUAAGGACUAGCUCUUUUUAUCUCAAUUUGGUGAUAAAAUGAUUAAUGAUUUUAUUUGGAAUGUUUUGGGUGAUUUAAUAUGAUGAAAUCUUUCCUUAACGAGUGUCAACUUUAGAACUGAAUUUCCGAUUUGAAAGGUUUCGGAAAAGUUACGUAAGAAAGAGGAAAGAUUGGACGCUCUUCCAUAAAAUACUGAAAAUGAAAAUGGAAAACUAUCUGCUAAUAUUGGUUGUCGCGGUCUCAGUCAGCUUGUCAUAUUGCAGAACACAAUCCUACGAACAUUGCACUGCGAAAACCGACUUCUCAAUCAAGUCUGGAUAGCUACUUCGGAUAUCCAGAGAAGGCGGUUGACGGCAACACUGAGGGACAUUAUAUU